UCCUGUCUGGGAUUUGGUUAGAGAGU
rnacentral:piRNA from 1 species